rnacentral:rRNA from 1 species
ACCCCGGAAGGGGAGUGAAAGAGAUCCUGAAACCGUGUGCCUACAACUAGUCAGAGCCCGUUAACGGGUGAUGGCGUGCCUUUUGUAGAAUGAACCGGCGAGUUACGGUAUCGUGCAAGGUUAAGCUGAUGAAGCGGAGCCGCAGCGAAAGCGAGUCUGAAUAGGGCGCAUUAGUACGAUGCCGUAGACCCGAAACCGGGUGAUCUACCCAUGUCCAGGGUGAAGGUCGGGUAACACCGACUGGAGGCCCGAACCCACGCAAGUUGAAAAUUGCGGGGAUGAGGUGUGGGUAGGGGUGAAAUGCCAAUCGAACUCGGAAAUAGCUGGUUCUCCCCGAAAUAGCUUUAGGGCUAGCCUCGAGUGAUGAGUCUUGGAGGUAGAGCACUGAUUGGACGAGGGGUCCCCACAGGAUUACCGAAUUCAGUCAAACUCCGAAUGCCAAUGACUUUAACUCGGGAGUCAGACUGCGAGUGCUAAGAUCCGUAGUCAAGAGGGAAACAGCCCAGACCAUCAGCUAAGGUCCCCAAGUAUACGUUAAGUGGAAAAGGAUGUGGAGUUGCCCAGACAACCAGGAUGUUGGCUUAGAAGCAGCCAUCAUUGAAAGAGUGCGUAAUAGCUCACUGGUCGAGUGACUCUGCGCCGAAAAUGUACCGGGGCUAAACGUAUCACCGAAGCUAUGGCAAUCCCGUAAGGGAUUGGGUAGGGGAGCGUUCCAAGGACAGCGAAGCUAGAUCGUGAGGACUAGUGGAGUGCUUGGAAGUGAGAAUGCCGGUAUGAGUAGCGAAAAGAUAGGUGAGAAUCCUAUCCGUCGAAAGCCCAAGGUUUCCUGAGGAAGGCUCGUCCGCUCAGGGUUAGUCGGGACCUAAGCCGAGGCCGAAAGGCGUAGGCGAUGGACAACAGG